rnacentral:rRNA from 1 species
AGAGUUUGAUCAUGGCUCAGAACUAACGCUGGCGGCGUGCCUAAUACAUGCAAGUCGAACGCGAAAGUCCUUCGGGAUGAGUAGAGUGGCGCACGGGUGAGUAACACGUGGGUAAUCUGCCCAGAAAUGGGGAAUAACUCCUCGAAAGAGGAGCUAAUACCGCAUAAGACCACAGCUUCUAUGGGAGCAGUGGUUAAAGGUGACCUCUAUUUAUAAGUUAUCGUUUCUGGAUGAGCCUGCGCAGCAUUAGCUAGUUGGUGGGGUAAUGGCCCACCAAGGCUACGAUGCUUAGCUGGUCUGAGAGGAUGAUCAGCCACACUGGAACUGAGACACGGUCCAGACUCCUACGGGAGGCAGCAGUAGGGAAUAUUGCUCAAUGGGGGAAACCCUGAAGCAGCAGCGCCGCGUGAGUGAUGAAGGCCUUCGGGUCGUAAAGCUCUGUUGUACGGGAAAAACGAGAGUGCAGCUAACAUCUGCAUUCAGUGAUGGUACCGUAUAAGAAAGGACCGGCUAACUUCGUGCCAGCAGCCGCGGUAAGACGGGGGGUCCUAGCGUUGUUCGGAAUCAUUGGGCGUAAAGCGUGUGCAGGUGGUUUGGUAAGUUGGAUGUGAAAGCCUUGGGCUUAACCCAAGAAGUGCAUUCAAAACUACCAAACUUGAGUAGGGAAGAGGGUCGUGGAAUUCCAGGUGUAGUGGUGAAAUACGUAGAUAUCUGGAGGAACACCGGCGGCGAAGGCGGCGACCUGGUCCUAUACUGACACUCAUACACGAAAGCGUGGGGAUCAAACAGGAUUAGAUACCCUAGUAGUCC